rnacentral:rRNA from 1 species
UACGGAAGGCAGCAGUGGGGAAUAUUGCACAAUGGGCGAAAGCCUGAUGCAGCUAUGCCGCGUGUAUGAAGAAGGCCUUAGGGUUGUAAAGUACUUUCAUCGGGGAGGAAAAAACAAAACUAAUAAUUUUAUUUCUUGACGUUACCCGAAAAAGAAGCACCGGCUAACUCCGUGCCAGCAGCCGCGGUAAUACGGAGGGUGCUAGCGUUAAUCAGAAUUACUGGGCGUAAAGAGCACGUAGGUGGCUUUUUUUAAGUCAGAUGUGAAAUCCCUGGGCUUAACCUAGGAACUGCAUUUUGAAACUGAAAUACUAGAGUAUCGUAGAGGGAGGUAGAAUUCUAGGUGUAGCGGUGAAAUGCGUAGAUAUCUGGAGGAAUACCUGUGGCGAAAGCGGGCCUCCUAAACGAAUACUGACACUGAGGUGCGAAAGCGUGGGGAGCAAACAGGGAUUAGAUACC